GAUGAACGCUAGCGGCAGGCUUAAUACAUGCAAGUCGAGGGGCAGCAGGACUGUAGCAAUACAGUUGCUGGCGACCGGCACACGGGUGCGGAACACGUACGCAACCUACCCAAAACUGGGGGAUAGCCCGGGGAAACCCGGAUUAAUACCUCGUAACCUUUUUAAGUGGCAUCACUUGAUAAGUAUAGCUCCGGCGGUUUUGGAUGGGCGUGCGCCUGAUUAGGUAGUUGGUGCGGGUAACGGCCCACCAAGCCUGCGAUCAGUAACUGGUGUGAGAGCACGACCAGUCACACGGGCACUGAGACACGGGCCCGACUCCUACGGGAGGCAGCAGUAAGGAAUAUUGGUCAAUGGACGCAAGUCUGAACCAGCCAUGCCGCGUGAAGGAUGAAGGUCCUCUGGAUUGUAAACUUCUUUUAUGGGGGACGAAACCCGGAUAUUCUUAUCCGAUUGACGGUACCUCAGGAAUAAGCACCGGCUAACUCCGU
rnacentral:rRNA from 1 species